rnacentral:tRNA from 1 species
AGAUCAACAAAAUAGAAACCUGCAAAGUUUUAGUUAAAGACUUUAAUUUAAGUU